CACUGAAAUAUAAUGAGAAGGCCAUAAAAGACCAGAGUUAAAUCCUUCGCUUUGGGGAGCAUCCAGUGCAUAUCUACCAUAUAAAAUUACACAUAAAAGUGGAGAUGUGGAGAGGGACGGACGGACGGAGACGUAUACGUAUACGGAUACAUAAAGCAGGCUCUUCUGGCCACAGAAACUACACCAACUACGUGAUCCGAGCGGAUUGAAGUACGGAAUUUACACAGUUACGGAGUUCUAGUUGUGAUGGAGUUAUGAUGGGCUCUUACCAGAAUUUCAUAUACGAGAACACGCUUUUCCUGCAACCGCAACCAGUUUUCAGUUUUCAGUGUUGUAUUGGUCGGUUGCGAUCCGUUUUUGAGUGAUAUUGGUAUGGAUUAUAUGUUUGGGUUUAAUUCGAUAUCGUUGACGCACAAAAAUGAGAUAAAUGGAUCGCAGGUUAUAGAAAAUGAUAAAUUGUUGAUAUACAACUGCAACUUAUUGUCAGCAAAAAAGGUUCCCACGUUCGCAACACAAGUUUUAUUUCAAGAUAUUUUUUUAUUUGUGUAUAUACAUUUAGCUUCGAAACAAUAGAUCUAUUAAAUGCUCAUUAGUUAACAUUAUUUAUUUAUAGUUAAAAUAGUUUGAUAAUUUUUCAAUACUCAGCUAGCUAUAGAGUGAAAAAAGUAGGCAUUCACCUAGUUCAACAAAUCAAAAGAAUAAAAUAAAAUAAUAAUACAAAACUAAGUUCUAAAAUAUUUGCCAAUUAGUGGAAUACAAAAGAAAAUUGGAAGAAUGAGGAUUACAAAAUGUAUUCUAAGUAAUAAUCCGUUCUAAAAGUGAUUCGAAAUAAUCGUAAAAAGUGUUUCGCCGCCGAAAAUCCGCUGGAAAGCCAAUCCGACUGCAGAGGAUGAUUGGACCUCAGUUGGCCGAGAUAAUCAGGCAAUUUACGGCACUGCUCACGAGGACGAAAGCUGGAGGAUUGGCGGGGAUUGGUGGUAAUCAGGAUGAGUAUGGCACAUCGGGGCAAAGGCCAAGGUCAACAAGGAAUUCCAGAGCCCAAUGAGAUGAUAUUUUAUUCAUACUCGCACGAGUGAGAUAGAAGGCACUACGCGGCCUAAGCGAAUUUCAAAUUCCGUUUCAUAUUAUGUUUGCCAAAGGAUUCGUUUUCUGGCAAGGACCUCAAACUGCUCAAGCUGCUCCUGGUUGGGAAAGUAGCAGAGGAUUUGCACUCGAAAAUUGCCGACAACUUUUAGCAAUAUAAAACAGAUUAAGGAAUUACUCACAGAAAAGAAGGCAAACUUUGUCAAGGAUAAUAAGAGGGAAAUACUGGCGCAAGCUGGAUGGCAGAUGGCGAAUGGCGGAUGGCGGAUGGAUACAACUUUUGCCGAAUCAAACGGCGUAAAAAUUGACUCGGCAGACGCACUUCACCACGCCCCUGGGAUGCAGCCACGCCCCUCGGAUGCUGCAACUGCAACUGCCUCUGCAUCUUGUUAGCCGCGCAAGUUUCGUGUUGUGUACUUUGCCCAGCAACUUUUCCCGGCCAGGAGCCAAAGGACAAAGGACACAAUUGCAUUGCGAGCGUCAUUAAAAUUUAUGCCUCGACAUUUUUUUUGUAUUCUCUCCCUUUUGUGCGAAUAGUGGGCAGAAAAGGAGGCGCUGCGUCCUGGGGAGCCUGUGUGCAAUUUUAAUGAGUUGGAAAUGAUUUGUGCGGGUAACUGGCCGCCAGUUGCCACUCCCCCGUUGCGCCCACGCCCCUCUGCUGCUGAUGCAGCAGUCGCCACGCAACAGGACACGAUAAAAAAGGGGGAACUGCCACGCCCACUGACCCAUCCCGUUCCGCCCACGCAGCGGGUUCAAUUUACUGUGCAAAAUAUGACCGUAUCAACGGUGACAUUAGAGAUCAUGUUGUCAUCCUCACUUUGCAUCUCCUGCAACGACUGACACUUGAACCCAUGCCUACACUGUGCGAAAUCGUUGGCAUUCAAUUGGAAUUUUUAAGUUGAGUGACUACGUAGUGCGCCACUACUCACUUGAUGUACGGCUGAUGGAGGGCCACGAGGCUGGCGUGGAUGCCCACACUGAUGGCCGCCAGAUGGAAGUAG